GACGAACGCUGGCGGCGUGCCUAAUACAUGCAAGUCGAGCGAUGAUUAAAGAUAGCUUGCUAUUUUAUGAAGAGCGGCGAACGGGUGAGUAACGCGUGGGAAAUCUGCCGAGUAGCGGGGGACAACGUUUGGAAACGAACGCUAAUACCGCAUAACAAUGAGAAUCGCAUGAUUCUUAUUUGAAAGAAGCAAUUGCUUCACUACUUGAUGAUCCCGCGUUGUAUUGGGUAGUUGGUAGUGUGAAGGACUACCAAGGCGAUGAUACAUAGCCGGCCUGCGAGGGUGAUCGGCCACACUGGGACUGAGCCACGGACCAGACUCCUACGGGAGGCAGCAAUAGGGAAUCUUCGGCAAUGGGGGCAACCCUGACCGAGCAACGCCGCGUGAGUGAAGAAGGUUUUCGGAUCGUAAAACUCUGUUGUUAGAGAAGAACGUUAAGUAGAGUGGAAAAUUACUUAAGUGACGGUAUCUAACCAGAAAGGGACGGCUAACUACGUGCCAGCCGCCGCAGUAA
rnacentral:rRNA from 1 species